rnacentral:rRNA from 1 species
UUCUCUGUAGAGUCUGCAUAUCAAUAAGCGGAGGAAAAGAAACUAACAAGGAUUCCCUUAGUAACGGCGAGUGAAGCGGGAAGAGCUCAAAUUUGAAAUCUUCAAGGUUCUACCUUGACGAAUUGUAGUUUAAAGAAGUGUUUUCUGUUAGAUGAGUAGCAAAAGUUCCUUGGAAUGGGACAUCAUAGAGGGUGAGAAUCCGUAUUUGGUUAUUCAUUCUAGCUUUGUGAUACACUUUCAAAGAGUCGGAUUGUUUGGGAAUGCAGUCCAAAAUGGGUGGUAAAUUUCAUCUAAAGCUAAAUAUUGGCGAGAGACCGAUAGCGAACAAGUACCGUGAGGGAAAGAUGAAAAGAACCUUGAAAAGAGAGUUAAACAGUACGUGAAAUUGUCAAAAGGGAAGCGUUUGACACCAGUGUUGUUUUUCCGAAAAUCAAUUACGAAUGGCUUGAUUUUGUGUUGUAUUGACCUUAUCAGCUUUCUUCACUUUUUUCGAGUCUUUCUUAAUGCACUUUUCGGUUAACAAGUCAACAUCAAUUUCUUUUGUUGUAAAAGAGUAUUCGGAAGGUGGCUUUCUUUUCGGAGAAAGUGUUUAUAGCCCUAUACUUCUACAAUCGGAGAGAUUGAGGUCUGCAGCGUAGAUCCUUCGGGGUUAGAUACAUUUGUGCUAAGUUGUAGCUUUUCAUAGACAACUUGUUGACUAUGUUUAGUCAUGCGGCUUACUCGCUUAUGCUAUUUUACCUACGCUUAGGAUGUUGACUGAUAUGUAGUCGUA